rnacentral:rRNA from 1 species
UACGUAGGGCGCAAGCGUUUGUCCGGAAUUAUUGGGCGUAAAGAGCUCGUAGGCGGUUUGUCGCGUCGGAUGUGAAAGCCCGGGGCUUAACCCCGGGUCUGCAUUCGAUACGGGCAGACUAGAGUGUGGUAGGGGAGAUCGGAAUUCCUGGUGUAGCGGUGAAAUGCGCAGAUAUCAGGAGGAACACCGGUGGCGAAGGCGGAUCUCUGGGCCAUUACUGACGCUGAGGAGCGAAAGCGUGGGGAGCGAACAGG